GAGAGUUCAGUGAACUCCCGGUGCAAGAUGGUAUCUUGGAGAAGGUGCUGUGUCUCUUAAAGGGUCCACGACUCCUCUUUUGACCAUGCCGCCACCGCCGCCCGCAGUACCGGUGUCUGCUGCUGGGAGUGCCUCGGGGAACCCGGAGAGCCCCUCUUCCUGGUUAUUUCCGCUGUUUUUUUUCCUGGAAACUCGCUCCGAUGUCCCGAAAUGACUCAGCUGUAGUAAAUCUUCAACACAACCUGCGGAGGAAUUUUCAUCAGCAAACAUCAUUUAAAAGAAAAUUAAUGGCGAAAAUGGGGCAUUGGGAAACUCUGGGGGGGGCGGGGAGAGAGAGAGAAUGAGAGAAUGAGAAUAAUGGCAAAUAAUAAUAAUAAUAAUAAAAAUUUAAAAACCCUGGAA